CUGACCAAGCGAGCAGCCUCGCGAGGCAGUUGCUCAGUCAGUCAGGACGUGCCUCGCCCGAGCUAAACGCAAGCGCUG